UGGGGAAUUUUGGACAAUGGGGGAAACCCUGAUCCAGCCAUCCCGCGUGUGCGAUGAAGGCCUUCGGGUUGUAAAGCACUUUUGGCAGGAAAGAAACGUCAUGGGUUAAUACCCCGUGAAACUGACGGUACCUGCAGAAUAAGCACCGGCUAACUACGUGCCAGCAGCCGCGGUAAUACGUAGGGUGCAAGCGUUAAUCGGAAUUACUGGGCGUAAAGCGUGCGCAGGCGGUUCGGAAAGAAAGAUGUGAAAUCCCAGAGCUCAACUUUGGAACUGCAUUUUUAACUACCAGGCUAGAGUGUGUCAGGGGGGGGUGGAAUUCCGCGUGUAGCAGUGAAAUGCGUAGAUAUGCGGAGGAACACCGAUGGCGAAGGCAGCCUCCUGGGAUAACACUGACGCUCAUGCACGAAAGCGUGGGGAGCAAACAGG
rnacentral:rRNA from 1 species